rnacentral:rRNA from 1 species
GCCUACGGGAGGCAGCAGUAGGGAAUAUUGGACAAUGGGCGAAAGCCUGAUCCAGCCAUGCCGCGUGAGUGAUGACGGCCUUAGGGUUGUAAAGCUCUUUCAGUGGGGAAGAUAAUGACGGUACCCACAGAAGAAGCCCCGGCUAACUUCGUGCCAGCAGCCGCGGUAAU